GAUGAACGCUGGCGGCGUGCCUAAUACAUGCAAGUCGAGCGAACAGACGAGGAGCUUGCUCCUCUGACGUUAGCGGCGGACGGGUGAGUAACACGUGGAUAACCUACCUAUAAGACUGGGAUAACUUCGGGAAACCGGAGCUAAUACCGGAUAAUAUAUUGAACCGCAUGGUUCAAUAGUGAAAGACGGUUUUGCUGUCACUUAUAGAUGGAUCCGCGCCGCAUUAGCUAGUUGGUAAGGUAACGGCUUACCAAGGCAACGAUGCGUAGCCGACCUGAGAGGUGGAUCGGCCACACUGGAACUGAGACACGGUCCAGACUCCUACGGGAGGCAGCAGUAGGGAAUCUUCCGCAAAGGGCGAAAGCCUGACGGAGCAACGCCGCGUGAGUGAUGAAGGUCUUCGGAUCGUAAAACUCUGUUAUUAGGGAAGAACAAAUGUGUAAGUAACUAUGCACGUCUUGACGGUACCUAAUCAGAAAGCCACGGCUAACUACGUG
rnacentral:rRNA from 1 species